rnacentral:tRNA from 1 species
GGCCAGCGGCCAUUGCGUCCGCCUGAAAAGCGGAAGGUCGCCGGUUCGAUCCCGGCCCUGGCCACCA